rnacentral:rRNA from 1 species
GACGAACGCUGGCGGCGUGCUUAACACAUGCAAGUCGUACGGUAAGGCCCUUUCGGGGGUACACGAGUGGCGAACGGGUGAGUAACACGUGAGUAACCUGCCCACAACUUUGGGAUAACGCUAGGAAACUGGUGCUAAUACUGGAUAUGUGCUCCUGCUGCAUGGUGGGGGUUGGAAAGCUCCGGCGGUUGUGGGUGGACUCGCGGCCUAUCAGCUCGUUGGUGGGGUAGUGGCCUACCAAGGCGGCGACGGGUAGCCGGCCUGAGAGGGUGACCGGCCACAUUGGGACUGAGAUACGGCCCAGACUCCUACGGGGGGCAGCAGGGGGGAAUAUUGCACAAUGGGCGCAAGCCUGAUGCAGCAACGCCGCGUGCGGGAUGACGGCCUUCGGGUUGUAAACCGCUUUCAGCAGGGACGAAGCUUUUUGUGACGGUACCUGCAGAAGAAGCACCGGCUAACUACGUG